rnacentral:rRNA from 1 species
UACGUAGGGCGCGAGCGUUGUCCGGAAUUAUUGGGCGUAAAGAGCUCGUAGGUGGUUUGUUGCGUCUGCCGUGAAAACCCGAGGCUUAACCUCGUGGCUUGCGGUGGAUACGGGCAGACUUGAGGUAGGUAGGGGAGAAUGGAAUUCCCGGUGUAGCGGUGAAAUGCGCAGAUAUCGGGAGGAACACCGGUGGCGAAGGCGGUUCUCUGGGCCUUACCUGACGCUGAGGAGCGAAAGCGUGGGGAGCAAACAGG